UACAUGGGGUGCAAACGUUGCUCGGAAUUAUUGGGCGUAAAGCGCACGUAGGCGGUUUGUUAAGUCGGAUGUGAAAUCCCUCGGCUCAACUGAGGAAGUGCAUCCGAAACUGGCAGGCUUGAGUACUAAAAGAGGGUCGCGGAAUUCCCGGUGUAGAGGUGAAAUUCGUAGAUAUCGGGAGGAACACCGGUGGCGAAGGCGGCGACCUGGGUAGAUACUGACGCUGAGGUGCGAAAAGCGUGGGGGAGCAAACAGG
rnacentral:rRNA from 1 species